rnacentral:lncRNA from 1 species
UGCUCGACCUCUUUUUUCCUUUCUGAAAGUUAAUCUAGGGCUCGACCUCUCCCCACCAGAGCGCAAGCAAUUCGUCAGAAAAGUUGUCGAAUCCUACCUUGCAGACUUGCAAUCCAAAGCCGAAGCAGCGCGACAAGCGGAGGAAGAAGAGCUUGAAGAAGAAGAUGACGAAGAGGGACAGAGAAAGGGAAAGAGAGGCGGCGCUAAAGAGGUAUAUUCUUCAUAACGAGCCUCUUCUGAAAUCUUGGUAAGAGAGAAGUUUAAUUAACUAAUUUAGAGAGUUUUCAGCAGCAUUUUGGUAUCCAGUUGAUGGAAAUCCUUGACAUGGAUCUGGGCAUUAUUCCAUUGACCAUGACUGGGUACCUUUAGAUAUUUCCCAAGGCACUUCUACGCUAACGGAAAUUAGUUCUGGAAAUUCUUGGGGUGAUGCUAGUGGUUUUGCUCUCAUCUUAUCUGUUAUCGCCUUGUGCGUAUCCGUUUUUGUCAGAAAGGAUUGAGGUGAACUUUUACUUUAAAUGGAUGGAUAUUAGAUGCUCAACUAGGAAGCGAAGCAGUUACUGUAGUUGUUUCAACUGUGUUUGGAAUGAGUUUGUAACAUACAAUAACAGCCGGAAACUGUGAGCAGUUAAGUUCCUAGGUUGUUGGCCUUAUUUUUAAAAAUAUACUUUCAAAUAUUGGGAUGACUUGCAAUUUAUAUUGUAAGGUCUCUGUUAAGCAAUUUAGACUUCCAGUGGUUACUUCUAAAAUGAUAACAUAAUUAUAAAACAUGUAGUUUACACUGGACAGUCAAACUUGUUCACUGCAGCAAUGUAGCUUGCAUGAGAGUCUCACAAUUGUGGUUUUAUCAUCUAGCUGUUUUGGGCAAUGUGGAUAUAUCAAAUGUUGGAUCAAUUUUAAAACGUGGCAGUAGAACUUUAACAUACUUGUUUUAUAGCUAUCAAAUCUCAUUUUAAGCAGGAUCUUGAAAUAAGAAAACUUACAAAUUGUGCUUGAAUUUUCUGACAGGUGACUGGAAAAGCUGUUAUGAUAGAUGAGAUAAUAAAUUAUGUGC